rnacentral:rRNA from 1 species
GGCCUACGGGGCGCAGCAGUGGGGGAUAUUGCACAAUGGGGGGAACCCUGAUGCAGCGACGCCGCGUGGGUGAAGAAGCGCCUCGGCGCGUAAAGCCCUGUCAGCAGGGAAGAAAAUGACGGUACCUGAAGAAGAAGCCCCGGCUAACUACGUGCCAGCAGCCGCGGUAAUACGUAGGGGGCAAGCGUUAUCCGGAUUUACUGGGUGUAAAGGGGGCGCAGACGGCGAUGCAAGCCAGGAGUGAAAGCCCGGGGCUCAACCCCGGCGAGCCGUUGAAACUGUCGGACUAGAGACGGCGAGAAGUA